CUGGGUUUAAAGUGCACGUAGGCGGCUUUGUAAGUUAGAGGUGAAAGCCUGGAGCUCAACUCCAGAACUGCCUUUAAGACUGCAUCGCUUGAAUCCAGGAGAGGUGAGUGGAAUUCCGAGUGUAGAGGUGAAAUUCGUAGAUAUUCGGAAGAACACCAGUGGCGAAGGCGGCUCACUGGACUGGUAUUGACGCUGAGGUGCGAAAGCGUGGGGAGCAAACAGGAUUAGAUACCCGGGUA
rnacentral:rRNA from 1 species